GAUGUCUUAAGCUUUGCUCUAGCCUACAACAUGAUUGUAGCUAACACCCUCUUUAGAAAGAGAGAAUCACAUCUGGUGACUUUUAGUAGUGGCCAACACUCUAGCCAGAUUGAUUUCAUCCUCUCGAGAAGAGAAGAUAGGCAUGCGUGCCUAGACUGUAAGGUGAUACCUGGGGAGAGUGUUGUACCCCAGCAUAAGCUGGUGGUUGCUGACUUCCGCUUUCGGAUUCGUGUCCAGCGAGAUAAGCGUGCCAAUGUUGCUAGAACGAAGUGGUGGAAGCUCAAGGGGGAGGUAGCUUAG
rnacentral:rRNA from 1 species